rnacentral:misc_RNA from 1 species
GAAGCAUUGGGUACUGUCUAUACUCGAUAAUCCACGAAUACUCAACCAUGUCUUGAUUUUCAGCAUGUGUACUGCCGUUGUAAGCAUACCUCUAAAAGAACAAAGUGUGCUACUAUGAUUAACCAUCACUCAUAUACAUCAGGUCAAAGUGCAGCUAAUGAUAUGGUGACGAUGGGUUACAACCCCAAAAUAGACUAUCAAAUAAGAAAUAAAAAACCUUACAAAAGUGGACUUGGCUGUAAUUAAUUUACAAGUUAAUAAAAUGAAUAAAAAUCUAAGACAUGCACACAUCGCCCGUCACUCUACCCUAAAGGUUAGAUAAGUCGUAACAAAGUAGGUGUAAUGGAAAUUGUACCUGUCGAAGUAUAGCAUAUAUAAAUGCCUUUUACUUACACUAAAAAUAAAGUUAAUAACUUACUUCGCAAAUAACCUAAAAAUCUUAUUAAUAAUGAUAGUAAUAUAAACAAAUAAGUAAAUCAAAAUAAAAUAAUAAAGUACAGAAAUGGAAAUAACAAUCAAUAAAAGUAAGUGUUAAAAACUGUACCUUGUGCAUUAUGGUUUUACAAGAAAAUAGUUAAUAACACUAAUCCCGAAUUCUAAGUGAGAUGUUAAACUGCUGUUAAGAACCCACUAUUAACUGUAGAAAAAGUUUUAAAAGACAGUUCAACAGAGGCUACAUACCAUUCGCACAAGAAUAUAGCUGGUUUUCAACAAACAUUA